rnacentral:lncRNA from 1 species
UGUUCUUUAAUUUAAUAUUCCUUUCUUUUGAAUUACUUAAUAUGUGAUCUUAUUAAUUCCCAUCAUUAUUGAAUAAUGUUUGGUCGAACACUCUAUUCUUACUUAUGAGACAUUAGAAAUUGGCAUUUGAAUUGGUCAACUUCUGGAUAAUCCCAAGCUAUAAAAUGUCAAACAUCUUUAUUAUAUUGUUUUGUUAAAAAAAUCAUUCUUUUUUCUUCUCUCUCAUUAAUUAUUUGUUUGUAACUCUCUGUCUUGAUUUUAUUUAUUUGUUUAUUAUGAAAAGGCGGGAGUACUACUCUGUCCAAGCUUCAUAACCAUUUCUUAGACUCACAGGAGCACACAGAUAAUUAACACAAAACUAUAACAGCACUUAAUAGUUUGAGGUUGCAUGGCCUCUUUGGUCAUCAAACAUAUUAUCUUUCCACACCAAUAAAUAUUUACAUAGAGCCUAUAUAUAUAUAUAUAUGUGAUUCCAUAAGCUUCAUUUUUCACGCUAAUAAAUAACAAUAUAAAAGCCUGUGGUCCCUUUGGUUAUCCACAUCCUUAUUACACCAUUUAAUAAAAAGAAAAAAAAGAAAUUAAAGGUUGUUUGUCACACAUAUAAUUUCUAUACUUACAUUUCUCAAGCCCACCAUAUUUAAUUUGACUGACAAAUAACAUUUCGUGCCUUUGGGUUUCCUUAGGCACGUAAUUUCAAUAGGAUAAUCAUCGAUCAUCACUUAAUAGAACGUCGAGACGUCAAAUGACCGCCCGGUGACUGAAAUCCGGUGGUUACACUUCUUUUGGCGGCGGAGGAAGGCGAUGAACACGACGAGAAGCCCAGGUCCGACUGGAGAAUUUGGAACCUGCCCGAAUCACCGGGAAGUCUCAUGUAAGAAGCGGACGGCGAUUCGUUAAGGAAUGGACCUAUGAAGCCUUGACCACCAUUCUUGUAUUGCACUAUGGCUCUAUACACAAAUGGAAGUAGGCCCUCCAUUUUAAAUUUUGUCUAUGGGAAAAAUAUUGAGAGAGGAGAGAGAAAGAUAAGAGAUUUAGAGAGGAGAGAGAUGGUUAUGGAGGAGGGGAAGGGAAGAAUUGGUUUAAAAGAGAGAGGGAAGGGUGGUGACGUGGUGUAAUAGGGUUGGAGUCCAGCUGUUUACGCUAAGCCACGUAGGCAAGGAAGGAGGCUUCAAAGAAAACCCACAAGAAGACCUUGAAAAUUAAGUACUACUCUUAUGGAAAGGUACAUCUAAACUACACCCAAAACCACCUUCCUUACACGACUGCAUCCACC